rnacentral:rRNA from 1 species
AAUGAACGUUGGCGGCGUGGAUUAGGCAUGCAAGUCGCGCGAUAUCUGUAGCAAUACAGUGAAAGCGGCGUAAGGGACAGGAAUACGUAGACUACCUACCCUCUGGAUCGGGAUAGCUGCGGGAAACUGCAAUUAAUACCGAAUAAAGUCUCCGGACCAAACGUGUGAAUCGGCCGGAGGAUGGGUCUGCGUCCUAUUAGCUAGUUGGUGGGGUAACGGCCUACCAAGGCAAUGAUGGGUAGCAGGUGUGAGAGCACGACCUGCGUCACUGGGACUGAGACACUGCCCAGACACCUACGGGUGGCUGCAGUCGAGGAUCUUCGGCAAUGGGCGCAAGCCUGACCGAGCGACGCCGCGUGCGGGAUGAAGGCCUUCGGGUUGUAAACCGCUGUCAGUGGGGAGGAAAUUCGUAAGGGUACUCUCUUACGAUUGACCUAUCCGCAGAGGAAGUGUGGGCUAAGUUCGUGCCAGCAGCCG